rnacentral:rRNA from 1 species
AUGCGUCAAAUAGGAUAUUCCAAAGAAAACCUCGAAAGAAAAAGUGACCACACCACCAGACCCUGGUCACCAUGGCUAUGUUCGACGGCGGCCACGACCAACUCGCCGGCGUGGUGGUGGCCACCUCCCGCCGUCGGAUCCGCCACAAGGCGUACCGAGGUGAGGUCGCGCCGCGCCACCAGGCGGCGUAACGUGACGACCCGAGGGAGGCCGGGUUCAGGGUCGCGCCCACUGUGCUGGCGCGGCGGAGGCGCUGCCACCCCGUCGCCGUCGGCUCCUGCGCCCAGGGCCAUGGGAGCUCGAGUAAGCGCUUGCUCAGUUCCAUUUUCUGCCUGGUGUACAUUUGAUUUCGACGGCGUGCAUCAGCCAUACGGGAAAAAAAUGUACUGCAUCCAUUGA